GAAGAGGAAGACUGCGCCAACUUCAUCAAGAUCAGACUCUGAGUGUGAAACUGUGCAGCCAGCAGCGCUGAAAAAGAAACCUGUAGCUUCUAGACCUCGAGCUCCAACGAAGAGUUCUACGGAUCUGUUCG